UAGCAAACAACAUGGCUUCCAUAUCUUGUGAGCUACUUCGUAAACACUAUUUGGAUACUGGAUUUCAACAGGAAGACGCGUUGGAAUACAAAUUUUAGCAAACCAUGUGAGAAGGCUGUUGGCAACUGUUGCCCUUGGAAUCAACGCCAUACCGACGGUAACCCGGACAACCAAAAACUGUCAACAAGCUGGAACAGAAGGACUGUAACUCUCAACUAGUGGGAACUUACCUGAAUUAUUUUCAUCUACAUGAUUAUUACAACAUUAAGACUUGGCUAAUGAGCAAAAAUUAAUCAACAUUUUCUAUCAGGGAAUUUUUUUUUGGAAAUGAAAUGGUUUAGUCCAGUCAACAA